GACGGACCGGGAGUUAGAGGCGUGCUGGGAGGCAGGCGUCCGCGGAGAGGCCCAGGGCGGAGGACAGUGGGCGCUGACUGGGGCGCAGGUGUCCGGCAUGGCCGUCCCACACCUUCCUGAGCUUGUUCUGAGUCUCCGCAAGACGCGGGUCCUGGGGUGGGACCCCGCCCCGAAGGGUCUCAUUCCUGUCCAGCCCUGGCCACCUCCCGCGGGACGUCUGCUCGCUCCUGUGGGUGCGGAAGGCAACGGGCCACGGCAGCCGUGCUGGGGUCAGAGGGGCCCCCACUCCGUGUCCUGUCUCCUCCUUUUACAGGAAAAGGAAAAGAGGAGGAAGGAAGAGGAAAGGCGAGCGGCCUGAGCUCCUCCGGCCUCCGGCUGUCCCUUUUCCCACAGGAAGUGCAGGGAAGCCCAUGCCCCACAGCGCCUUCCUGCUGGUGGCCUCACGUGGCCUCCAGGCCUAUGACUGGCAUGUCCUGGGUCUCCCUGAGUCCGUCCACCUGCAGCGCCCGUGGUGCCAGUUAGCACGGGGAGCACUGCCCGAGCUGCGCCAGCGCACGCCCUUCCAGAACUUUCCAGCCCCUUUGUUUCUGGGGACGAGCCCCCUUCCCCCGCAGCCUCCACGUCCCUCUGUCCGUCCCUCCUGGGUUCCUUCCCACCACCGCAUGGCCUCAGCUCGCAGGCCCUUCGAGACACCCUGGGCCCCCAGGCCCCUGCACCAAUCCCGGGAGCUCUCGAGGUGCUUUCCACGGCACCAUCCAACUGUCCCCUCCACAGGCUCCUGCAGGAGUCCUGUUCCCGGAGUGUGACCCACACGCCUAUUCCCUGUGCGCCCCAAGCCCCGGCCCAGCGUGCGCGGAGCGAGUGACAGUCAACUGUGGAAUGAAUUGACAAAUGAAUGGAAAGAGGAAUGGGUGGGAGAGCCACGGAAUCCCACCCCGGGGCCCAGGCCAACCCCCAGGAUGGAUGUGGGGGGAGCCGAGCCCCUCGACCCCAACCAUGAGGCCUGGCCCGGCUCUGCGAUGCUCUCCCGCCUUAACUCUGCGUGACUCCCCGUGGACCUGGGGGCCAGGUGUGGCUCUGGACGGCCACCAAGGCCUGGGCUGGGAUGGAGAUAAACCCACAGAGCAAACCAGCAACAUAACAAGGUUUGGCUCUGACAACUCGGCGACCUCCAGGAAGCCCUGGCUUUGGCAUAGCUUCCGGCCAGGAGCCCGAGGAGGUGCGCCCUGGGCCCAAGGACCCGUCCUCGGCUUUUCUAGCUGUUGGCAAGUGGGGCCUGUCGGCUCCGUGGGGCUCUGGGGCUGGCCCAGGGCGCCCAUGAAAGGCUGGUACGGGGUGGGAGCUCUUGGAGACCUGCUCGCCGGGGCAGCCCAGCGCCUCUGCCCGCUGGGUCCGGCCGGCCCCGCCGUUCCCUGCAGCGUGUCAGGCCCCAGAGCCCAGGCCCGGGUCUCAUCUCGGGGGCAGAGUUUGAAUGCUGGGCUGCAAGUUCGAUGCUCCCCACUCCGUGCUGGUUUCUUGCUUGGUGGGAACACGGAGCUUUCCCUGCCAGCCAGCCAGGCGCCGGGACGGAGGUGCAGUGGAGCUCAAGCCUGUUCCAGACUUCAAAACGCUCUUUCUCUGCUUGCAGCGUGGACACGGAACCUGUCACUUGCGAGGGACCCAGAGUGCAGGUUCCCUGGGGCCGCCGUGCUGGGGAAGGUCUCGGGCACCGGCUGACAGAAGGACUGGGAGACGCCAGGGCUGUGGUCUUCUCGCCACGCCUUCCUUCCGUGGCUGCAGCAGCAGGCUGGCCGGGACUGACACCCCUGUCUCCACCCACCCUUCCCUGUGCUCACCUGGAUGCGCCUUAAGAAUCUCAAAGUUGAGGCAGGUAACAGAGUUGGGCCCACUUUAUCUGGGUCUCUGACUCUGAUAAUGAGAUAAUGACUUCCCCUGGGACACUGGUGCCCCCAGGCCCUUCCUGCCUCCCCCUGCCCCCAGGAAGGCCCCCCUCGCCUAUGCCUCCUGCAUCGUGGGUCCCAGGACCCCCCCCACGAGGCCGCUCCCUCCCGGCAGCACGCUCCCCAGGCCAGGGCCAGGCCUGCGGCUCCCACUUGGGAGUAAAGUGACCUCCACAUAAUGAACUCGUCAAGACAGCCACUCCACGGCCUGACACGGAAACCCUAACCAGGAUGAACGAUUCACUGUCAAGCGAUGCGGGGCCAUUGUGUGUCUAGUACUCACUUGAAACUUUAUAAGUGCGGGAACGCACAGACGCCCCCGGGACGCCUGCGCCCUCUGGGCGGAGGAGCGGCUGGGGCCGGAGCUGGCGGGGUGCCGGUGAGCUGGGUGCGGGCUUGGUAGCCCAGACUCCGGGUUCUCAGGACGGUGGGUGUGCAGGGAGGGGCCUCGCCAUGUUCCCAGGCCAGAGCAUGCCGGGCCGCCACCCCGCCGGAGCCCGGGGCCGACCGGCUCUGCGGCUCUGCGCUGGCCAGCGAGCAGGCGCCGCAGGGGCCGGAGCCGCGUCAGUAGACCGUGCGGGGAAGGCCCGGCGCUCCCAGGCAGGCCGCUCCGUGUCCAGCCAGGCGCCACCAAGCCUGGCCUCUCCACUGCCGUCAGGGCCUGGAGGCCCUCCGUGUCCUUUGGGUCACUGCCAGUUGGGUAAGAGCGUCCCGUGUGACGGUGACAUUACACGUGUCAGGGCUCACGUGAGUUUUGGUGCGUGGAAGUGCCCAGCAAGUUCCGUCUGUUGUCGUCACAGGCUGUGCUGGGCCCUGACGGGCUUGGCGGUGCUGGUGCAGCUGGCUCCCGCCUUCCAGUCACCUGCGGGAAGCAGACGCCACCUCGAGCCGUAGCAGCGACUCCGGCCCAUGGUGCUCUCGCUGUUUGUGUGACCCUGCUCACCAGGCACAUGGGACGCCGGGACGGGACAAGGAUAGCGGGAGGCCCCGGGACGUGCCUGGCAGGGCUGGAUGGAGCGGUCACGGCACCCGCAGGGCUGGAGCUUGCAGAGGCAGGAGGUGGCCUCGGGAGGGUCAGGGAAAAGGAAAGAGAUGGCUGGAAAACAAGAGUUUUGGGAAAAGCCUGAGAAGCCUUUUUGUUUGUAGACAGAAAUACGAAGAUAUGCCCCGCUAACGCCUGAGCUCCGUGGGUCCCUUUACAGGCUUCUCUCUUCCCCAGGACGGGGAGCGAGGCAGCUGGCAGGGAUUUCUGAGGAAACGCCACAGCCAACGAGCACUUGUCAAGAUGGAUUCAGGAAGGUCUCCGACGCUGUGCAGAGACGGGAGCAAGCAUCGGCACCAACCCACUCCGUCCGGGGCGGCCCAGGGUGCUCCCUUCCAGCAGGGCCGCUCUGCGGGCGGUUCCACCCACGGGUGCUCCAGCUGCAGCUCCGAGGCGUCUCCUCUGGGCCUCCCAGUCUCCUCAAGGUCAGGCAGGAAUGACACGCCGACGGCUCAGUGUGGCUGCGACAGUGGCCGGUGGCGGCACACUCGCUCCCGUCACAGGACCCGCCCGGCGGGAGCCUCGCAGCGUGACAGCAGCGAGCGCCGCCCUGUGCGUGGGCAAAGCCUGCCCGUGCGCAGGUCCCGCCAGAGGAGGGAGCAGUCCACAGACACCAGGCGCCGGGUGCAGUCGCGCCCCGAACACGGCUGGGCCAUCGUUCUGUGACCGCACCUCUCACUAGGGCCCGUGGAGGGGGCCGGAGGUGCCUCGGGCUCAUGUAACUAAACACUUAUUAUGGCACAACUGGGAGAAAGGCCAGUGAACCACGGUGCAGGUGACGUUUCCUCUCUAGCUAGCAUGUGGGUAACACUAUCUUCACCUUCCUGGGAAACAGACAAUAGCAGAUUCCAACUGAAAGAAGCUUUUCUAGCUGUAUUUAUGGCCACAGACCUGGAGAAGUUUGCUGGUUCCCCCGUUGGCCUAUGUCAUUCCUUAGUGGCCAAUCUGCACAGAACUGCACCUAUUUAACUGCAGGCCUCUGCUUUCUGUCGUGGCUAAUUUGGGUAAGAACUGUCAGCUGACUGCAGCCCUUUCACUUAACCAAGUGCUCAGCCACAUUUAAACUCCUGUGCGAGGGAAAUUGUUCCUCGAAUGAAUAAUCUGACCACAUACCUCAAUGUGCUCAAGCCCGAAAGGGCUGUAUGUAGUGCCCAAGUUCGCCAGAAAUAGUCAAGUUUCCUCUCCAAACCCGUGGUUAGCCCUGGACCACUUACCCAGGCACAGGUCAUUGCUUACAUUUAAGCUGAAAUGGUAUUUUAAUCACGGGUUUAUGCUCUAGUAACACUAUUCUAUGUUAUAUGCAAAGUGAAUAAAAAUGUUUAAAUCAAAUAUGACUGAAUUUACAUAAUGCCACCCCCCCCAAAAUUGGUAGAAAAACAGAAAUUUAGACAUGAAAUGACCAGGGAAUGUUCGAUCACCUUAUAGCUAUGCAGACAUUAUAAAAUGCUAGAAGUUCUGGCCAUGGGAGAAGACUGAGCUAUUUCUUUUCUAAGAUAAAUUAAAAUACAGACUAACAUGGAAUGUGCUUGUCUUUUAUAUUUAAUUGUAGUUCUUCAACAUUUUACUUAAUCUAAACACCCCAUGCUCUAACUCUGGCAAUCCCUGCUGGAAGUGACGACUCACUCUUGCUCUGCCUUCAGAUGCAGUGGCUGGCCCCGGCUUUGGGGGUGUGUGAAGGCAGGCCAGUGCCGUGAGACCCCUGAUCCCUGGGGAAUGGCCAACCAGGGGACGUUCAGCCACGUCCGCAGGCGGCUCGGGUCAUCGAGACUGGGUGGUGGGGCCGGGCUGCCCGACACCCCGCAGCGCACAGCAAAGAGCUUCCUGCCCCCAAAUGCCAACAGCGCGGAGGCUGAGAAUCCUCGUCAAGAGAAUGAGAUGUUUUCACUGAUUCUGAAAAAUCCUCCCGCAAAUCGCAAACUUCCAUUGUCUGCGGAGGCGCACGCGGUGUGUGCGUUUCUCAGACAUGCGCUGUUCAAACCUGGCUCCCAGUGGUUGGAGGGGAUUACUCACAGUGGGAUUCUAGUGACACACAGUCACCACGUGAGUUCCCUGACCCAAACCGAGCCAGCCAGCCAGCCAGGUGAGGUCCCUAUCUGACCCCUGUGGUCUGGUCACCCCGGGCAACAGGGGCUCGCUCUGCCACAUCCGCCCCGGGCUGCUGGGGCGUCACCAACUGCCCACACUGGCAGGAGCCGUCCUAACUCCCUGCCCCGUCCCUCCUUGCGGGGCGUGUGCACAGCAGAAGGCCGCCCGCUGCGGGACUGCCGCUUCGCCGUCCAAGACUCACAGCCGGGAAAGGCAGCUGCUCUCAGAGCCCGGUCUACCCAGGGACAGACAGGGCGCCGUCUCCACUGCGGUAGACUCGCUUUCCAACGGCCUUAGUUCAGAGACGUUCUUGCCCCUCCCUUGGCACGGGGUUUGGUCCUAGCUGAACACAGACGUGGAUUAUCUGCAGUGGAUGCCCUCAGUGUAGACAAUGCAUUGACAGAGACCCCUCCGACCACACUGCGGUCAGGCUCCUGCCGGGGCCGACCCUGGGCGCCUCCCUGUCCUGGUGGAAUCAGUCUGAGCAGGAAUCCCGCGCGGUCUAGUGACAGCCCCACCCCUGGAACUGCAGGGGAGUGUCCUGUCACCCGGCCAGCGCUGGCAGGGCCCACCUCCCUGCGUUCCUCUUAGCGCCUCCGCGAACUGACCUGCCGCCCCUGGGGCGUCCGUCCUCACGGUCCCGGCUGGAGUCGGAGCUGAGACCGGCCCCUCCCGCAAGGCCCCAGCAGCUCCCCACCUCUCGCCCUGGCCGCUCCGGCAGGCGCUGCCUGACCGCGCCUGACCGCGCCUGAUGCGGGACCCUGUGUCUUUGCUAGCACCAAAGCCUCCUUCCUCGCCCUCCUGCGCAGUGCCCGCCACAGAGGAGACCCACGGUGUCUGCGGAACGUCAACGGGGGAGAAGUUCUGUCUCAGUGAGGAAUCUCCACGCCACGUCCUAGGCGCUGCCCCUCCUCAGGGUGCCACGCCUUUUGUGCGUGGCGCUUGGCGUCUCCGCAGCACCCGGCGGGGCAGCUCUUCACGCUAAGAGAUCGGCGCGGGGCGUGAUCACAGAACGCUCGCCUCUCAACGGCGGUUCUCGGGGGUCUGCACCGCGAGAUGCCGUGCCUUCCCUUUAAUCUUUGGAAGGACGUGCUGCUGGGGGCUGCAGGCCUGCCUCUCAAGGAAGCGCGAGGAUGGUGGGGAGGCGUCAGGAGGAGCGGGCGGCGCUGAGGGGGCGCUGCUCCUGGCAGGGAACCGCCGGGUCCCUAGUUUUACCAGGGGCAUCAGGCCGCGUGCGCCCCAGGCAGGAGGUGGGUGACAUCCCCGUGACUUCAGGGAGAAAGAGCAGCUCUGGGGAGAAGGGCGGCGUCUGC